CCCGGCGACCGGCGCACGGGUGAGUAACACGUAUGCAACCUGGCCGCCACAGGGGGAUAACCCGCGGAAACGCGGCCUAAUACCCCGUGACGCCACCGGAGGGCAUCCUCCGGUGGCCAAAGGAGCGAUCCGGUGGCGGAUGGGCAUGCGGCGCAUUAGCUAGACGGCGGGGUGACGGCCCACCGUGGCGACGAUGCGUAGGGGUUCUGAGAGGAAGGCCCCCCCACACUGGGACUGAGACACGGCCCAGACUCCUACGGAAGGCAGCAG
rnacentral:rRNA from 1 species